rnacentral:rRNA from 1 species
AGAGUUUGAUCCUGGCUCAGAAUGAACGCUGGCGGCAUGCCUAACACAUGCAAGUCGAACGAAGGUCCUAGCUUGCUAGGGUGCCUUAGUGGCGGACGGGGGAGUAACGCGUGGGAACCUGCCUUUGAGUGGGGAAUAACAGUUGGAAACGACUGCUAAUACCGCAUACGUCCUUCGGGAGAAAGGCUUCGGCCGCUCUUAGAUGGUCCCGCGUCUGAUUAGCUAGUUGGUGAGGUAAUGGCUCACCAAGGCGACGAUCAGUAGCUGGUUUGAGAGGAUGAUCAGCCACACUGGGACUGAGACACGGCCCAGACUCCUACGGGAGGCAGCAGUGGGGAAUAUUGGACAAUGGGGGAAACCCUGAUCCAGCAAUGCCGCGUGAGUGAAGAAGGCCUUAGGGUUGUAAAACUCUUUCGCCGGUGAAGAUGAUGACUGUAACCGGUAAAGAAGCCCCGGCUAACUCCGUGCCAGCAGCCGCGGUAAUACGGAGGGGGCUAGCGUUAUUCGGAAUUACUGGGCGUAAAGCGCACGCAGGCGGCGUGAAUAGUUAGAGGUGAAAGCCCCGGGCUCAACCCGGGAAUUGCAUCCAAAACUGAUUCACUAGAGUACGAAAGAGGGAGGUAGAAUUCACAGUGUAGCGGUGGAAUGCGUAGAUAUUGUGAAGAAUACCAAUGGCGAAGGCAGCCUCCUGGUUCUGUACUGACACUGAGGUGCGAAAGCGUGGGUAGCGAACAGGAUUAGAUACCCUGGUAGUCCACGCCGUAAACGAUGACAACCAGCUGUUGGGAAGCAAUGCUUUUCAGUGGCGCAGCUAACGUCUUAAGUUGUCCGCCUGGGGAGUACGGCCGCAAGGUUAAAACUCAAAUGAAUUGACGGGGACCCGCACAAGCGGUGGAGCAUGUGGUUUAAUUCGAUGCAACGCGAAAAACCUUACCUACUCUUGACAUCCUUGGAAUCUCUUGUAAUGAGAGAGUGCCUUUUGGAACCAAGUGACAGGUGCUGCAUGGCUGUCGUCAGCUCGUGUCGUGAGAUGUUCCGUUAAGUCGGAUAACGAGCGCAACCCUUACCCUUAUUUGCCAGCGGUUCGGCCGGGAACUAUAAGGGGACUGCCGGUGAUAAACCGGAGGAAGGUGAGGACGACGUCAAGUCAUCAUGGCCCUUACGAGUAGGGCUACACACGUGCUACAAUGGGAAGUACAGAGGGACGCCAA